GCGGGUAUCGUAUAGCGAUUAUUACAUCUGGUUGCCAAUCAGAUAAUGAGGGUUUGACUCCCUCUACCCGCUCCA
rnacentral:tRNA from 1 species